CUUUUUAACAGGGACAUACCUAUAUUGUAGUAUUUAUGUUUAAAUUUCUAAUUUGUGUUGCCUAGGUUCAACUGAUGGUAAAAUCAACUGUUGGAAUACAGACACUGGAGUGAGGGUAGCUGUGUUUAACUGUGAUCAUCCAGGACCAGUCCAAUGUGUUCAGUUUAAUCCUAAACUAAUGAUGUUAGCUACUGCUUGUACAAAUAUGGUAAAUAUUUACAUAAAAUUUAUAACUGGUUCAAGGAAUCUGUACCAUUUAAAUAAACUCAUCAUAGAUACUAAGAUUGAAAUUUUGUAUUUGCCCUUUACACAUAUUUUGUCUACAAAAGACUCAUCAUUGAUACUCAAAUCAAACAAGAAUGUGUCUCCAGUACACAGAUGCCUCAUCAUCACUAUCAUUUUCUAUGUUCAGUGGACCGUGAAAAUGGGUGAAAAUCUCUAAUUUGGCAGUAAAAUUAUAAAGAUCAUAUCAUAGGGAACAUGUGUACUAAGUUUCAAGUUGAUUGGACUUCAACUUCAUCAAAAACUACCUCAAUCAAAAACUUUAACUAAAUCUUUAACCUGAAGUGGGACAGACGAACAGACCAGAUAACAUAAUGCCCAUAAAUGGGGCAUAAAAAUGAUAAGGGCCAAAUAAAAAGUACAAAGUUGAAAAGCAAAAAGUAAGGAUUGGAUGACUGAUUUUAUGGUGUUAGUUUAAACAAUAUUUAUUCAGAUAAAUCAACAUUAAAGAUAUUAUACAAUGAAAUAAUAUUAAGGAUUCAGAAAUGGUUAAACACCCCUUCUGCACAAUUGGCUUUAUAUCGGUGGCCAGCUUUUGUCGGUGGUGGAAGCUGGAGUGCCCUACAGGCUAGAGAAAUAUGAUCUGCAGCAGGAAAACUGGCAAUUACUGUUUCAAGAUCUGAGAUAAACAUACCUGCUACUAACUAGCAGGGUUCGAACCCUGCAACACAAGUGUUGGCACGCUGGGAAAAAUAAGAUGAGGAUGUAUGGACAUAUUGUAAAAAGACUUUGUUAAAGUAUUUCUUUGGUAAACCUUCAAUUAAACAUUUUUUUACAUUGGUUGUGAUGAAAUAUAAUGAUUAUAUAUUGCAUUUGUGAAAUUAAUCUUCUAAUUUCACUUCUUUGACAUCACACUCAAAAAAGAAUAACUACUCCAUGAAUUCAGCUUUGUUUUGUGAGAUUGUUAUCAGCCUUUUAUUUAUUGUUUAGUCAUGAUCAAAUACCUGUCCUUGUCCCGAGAUAGACGAUCCGUCAAAGUAUAGGUUAUUUAUAUAAGAUGAUCAUCUUUAACCUGUCCAUGCAUUAUUUUACUGUUAUAUAUGUAUUCAACGCUAUUUACUGUUUAAUUAUUUAUUUCCCUUAUUUUAGGCAUUCUGGUUACCUUACAUUGAUGAUUGAGUGAUUAAGAAAUGUUUUCAUACAAACAUUGGAGGAGGCAGCAAAGACAUGAAGAAUAGUGUUGAAUGUUUUAUAAAUGUUGUAUAUGGAUGAGACAUAUGAAAGAUACAUUUAUACAAUUGUUGUUUAUUUCACUGUUAAUGUGCAAUCUCAUAAACAUUAUUUGUUUGAAAUAAUUAGAGUGCAAGAGACACAGGCUCAGAAUAUUUGUAUCUUGUUUUAAGAUUUAGACAUAUUAAAUAUUUUUACUUCAUAUUCAAGACAUAUUUUGAUAUUUAAAUUUGAUUUAAAAUGAAAGACUUAAUAGUUUUUGAACAGUCAAUAUUGAAGUGAUGUUGCUUUGCAAUUUUUUUUUUUAUUUUGUUUCAGAGUUUUUAAAUGACUCCCAUCAUGUAAUUGAAAUUUAGAAAGAAAAAAAUUAAACAUUAGUUUAAAAAAGGCACACCUUAGUUACUUUAGUACAAACAUUUUUUUUUUUAUUUAUUUUAUACAUUCUAAUUAUGUAAAAAAAAUCUACAGCAAAUAAUCUCACAAUGUAUUCACUACAUACAAGACAUAAAUAUGUCAAACAUGUGUAUGUUACAGUCUGUCUGUUUAGUAUUUUAACCAUUAUGAGUUUUACUCUUAUUUUUUUUAUUUAUUUUUUUUUAAAUCCUUUGUGCCACAUUUAUAUUUGCUUCAGUUGUGGGCAUUGAACCAUUAUAUAUGCCCACCAGUUUAUUGUACCAUUGUGAAUACAACUCAUCCAUACUUCAUUUAUGUGAAGAUGUUUAAUCAGAUAUACGUUAAGAUUGGUAAUUCACACAAACACUAUUUCAAAUCAAGCUAUCCAAAGAUCUGAAUACAAUGUCAUUAUCACUUUCUUUCCUAUUCAACAAUGUUGUCCUUUACAUAAGCAUCUUUUGUUGUGUACCUAAAAAAAGGGACAAUCCUGUGUUUGAAAUAGACUUACUUUUCAAAAAGUUACUUGUAACUGUAAUGUCUAUAAUUUGUGAUAAAUGAAAGUCAGGUAAACCUCAUUAUUAAGUGUAUAUGAUCAUUUAAUGCCCCAUUUAAAAGAUUGUUUUACCCUGUAUUAUUUUCCAAUGUAGGUAACUGUAACAUAGUAACACAUAUUAAAAUAUGUUUCAUUGUACAAAGAAAUGACCAAGAAGUUAUUCACUGCCAACACUGAUGUGUAUUGUAACAUGUGUGUGUAUAAGUGUGAAGAAGGAUAUGUAUCAAAGUUAUACAAGUUUGUGUGACAGGUUUUCAUAUGACAUCCUACCUAACAGUACCAUUAUAAAUAACAUUUUGUAUCUUAAGUAAAGAAAAGAGAAACUUAAAAUUGUGUUAUUAUUUUUGGAAGAUGGAGUUCAUAUUCGGUCUAUUUUUUGGUACAUGUACUAUGUUCUUAAUAAAAAAGCCAACUUGACAUGUAUGAUUAUACACAUUCACAUCUUUUUUUAAUUUGCACAUUGCCU
rnacentral:lncRNA from 1 species